GCAAAGGAGCAGCUCUCCUCCUGAGUCUCCAUCCCAGAGCAGAGGCAGAAGAAAACCAAAGAGAAGGGACAGACUGAAAGACGGUCCCGCCUCAUCGGUGCAUCCCAGCAGCUCCUAAAGUUAAAACCAAGACUUCCACUGUGAGGUCAAGAGGACAUGAUGUGCCGUCAAGUCUUCACCUGACAGAAGACUCUGCACACAGGAUUCUUGAAGACCUGAUGCAGAGACAUGAGACUUCAGGAUCCUGAACGCUGUCGACUACAUCCACCGUGAUGUCUGUGCAGUUUAUAGUGUGCACACAAAACAUAUAGAGUAGAUUUCCAAACAACUCUUCUUUCUUUCUCUCAUUAUAAGCAUCAUCCCACCAUAAAAGUACAGGUAUAGUAAUAUCAUCAGCAAAAUAUACAGUAAAUAUCAUAGUUAGCAUUUAAUAUCAAAAGUGUUCAUUUGGCUUGUAUUAACUUAUACUAUUAUAUUUCUAUACUGUGGUUGGUAUAAAUGGGAAUGAAUACAACUGGGAGAUGAUGAUUACGUAUCAAUUAAUCAUAUUUUAUAAGACGAUAACAUGUUAUAUAUGGAGC